UAUAAUGUUCAUCCUACGUAAUACAAUAUGACCAUCCUUUAUGAAAUUAUUAAUUUUUAUAGGAGACAAGCCUACACAUAUGCUAUACGAAUGCUGUCAAGGACUGUUUGCGGCAUUUUUCCAUAAUCUACACAUUAAUAUGCCAUUGUACACCCCGUUGUUACUUUCGACCAUGACACGGCUGCCCAACUGAGCAGAAUCUUCACCGGACUACAAUUACUUAAGUUGGGAAAUAAGUUGACAAUAAAGUGCCUAAAGUAUUUAUGGCGCGAACUAGCACGUGCUGUCAUAGCACUGCCUGUCCUACAAACAUGGUGCGAGACGCCGUUUGCUUCCCGUUUCGCCGCCAACUGCAUUUUUCGCACUUCAAUCAUCGCACGCGCAUUUUGUCAACCGAACUAUUUUCGAACUUCCACAUAAUAAUUUAGCAUUAUUGUUAACAAAUUAUUUAUGAAAUUAGCGAGUAAAUAUUGGCAGACGCCACCGAUGGUCCGCCUUCUUACGAAGACACGACGAGAUUGAGGCGAGUAUGGGACCAACCA